GUUGAAUCUUCCUAAUGGUUCUGUGGCCAUUCCAGCUGUGAGCUGCCGAUGGUGUACUCAUUAGUUCUUGCAAUCCUCUCUUUAUAUAGAAAGCAGAAGCCUAAUUGGUAUUGAUUUCAUAACGUUAGGUCCAGAUCGAAAUUAUUUCGUGGUUUUUACACUUAAAAUAAUUGCAGAAAUAAUAAAAGAUCAACACAAAAAUUUUUCGUCCCAAAAAGGGGCCCAGAUGUUCAGCCUUUAGGCCUAAUCUCCCGUUGAGCAUCUGUAACACAGAUAAAGCUCAAGAUCCACUAAGAAGAACCAAGAAAUGUUACAAAUGUACGAAGAAACAGAAUGUUUCUUCGAUAUAUCUCUCUAGCCUCUUUACUAUAGGAAAUCACAAAGAUCAACCUCUACCAUGAAAGCAUUCAACUCUCAUUUACAUAACGUAUGAAAGAAUCACCACUAAGAUGAAGAUCGAAUUUAUAGAGAGAAAGAAUUCAUCAAACCCUAACUACACUCAGAGAAAGGGGAAAGUCAGAGAGAGAGAGAGAGAGUCACGAAGCUUCUACACGAAUGAAGAGCCAAAACCAAGUUAAAAAUAUAUGGUCAACCAAAAGAUGGGAUCCAAGGGUUGAGGAUCAGCCACGUUUACGGCUGAUACUCAAUCCUUUGAGGCGUUAAAAGCGUGUUUUACAAAAGUGCAAUUUCUUUGUGAUCCGGUCCAUACUUAAUGGGCCAAAAGUUUGUGAGGCAAACCAAAGGAAAUUAGUCUAACGUUCUCCACCUUGCUGAACAAUUCUUUUGGCACUUGAUGGUGGAUCUUGUACUUCUACACAUGAUUACUUCCUUUGCUCUAAGUUCCUGUAAAAACAAAAAAUUUCAGUUAGAACAUAAACUACAAAUUUGUGCUCGAAGAAUUUGAAUACCACUUCCUCAAGUGAUAUUAAGGAUCUUCAAGCAUGUUUUGAAUUCAUUUAAAGGUAAUACCUUUGUUCCCAGAUCUAAAGGAUUGCAUUCUGAAG
rnacentral:lncRNA from 1 species